CCCGACCCGAUGCUCGUGGUCACGCUCGGCACACGCGUGUGCCAACCCCCGGCCUUACCACGUGCCUUCGGGCUGGGGGCGAGAGCUGCGGCCCCCCCCCGGGGGCAUGUUGCCCCCCCCCAGCAUUGGCCACGCUGCAGCCGUGCCGUGGCGGUGCAAUGCCUGUGCAACGGCCGUGCCAUGGGGGGCGGCGCGUGUGCAAUGCGCGUGCAAGGAGCAUGCCCUGCUGCUGCUGCAGUGCAUGUGCCGUGCCGGUGCAACGCGUGUGCAAUGCAUGUGCAAUGCAUGUGCAACAUGUGUGCAAUGCGUGUGCAAUGCACGUGCCCCGCUGGUGCACAGCCACGCUGCACUGGCACCGUGCACACGCAAUGCCCAUGCAACGGCCACGCCACGGCGCAACAAGCGUGCAAAACGCUGUGCAACACCCACACCGUGCCCGUGCAACGCCUCGCAGCGGGCACGCUGUGCAUGCAGUGUGCGCGUGCAACGCCCUUGCAGCAGCCAGGCCGUGGUGCAAUCAAUGCACGUGCAACGCUCGUGUUGCACCAGUGCAAGGUUGUGCAGUGCCCGUGCCGUGUUGGUGCAACACCAGUGCAACGUUGUGCGCUGCCCAUGCCGUGCUGGUGCAAUGCCCGUGCAAUGCCCAUGCUGGUGCAAUGCCCGUGCAAUGCCCGCGUGCCGUGUUGGUGCAAUGCCCGUGCACUGCCCGUGUUGGUGCAAUGCCCACGUGCCGUGCCGUGCCGUGCCGUGGCCGCACGAUGCCCGUGGGACCCCACACGCCGCCCGUUCUCGCCGCCUGCUCGCGCCGGUGCCCCCCCUCCCCGCGGUGAUUUAGGGAGGGUUGUUGGGGGGGGGGUGGGCACAACCCGGUCCCGCUGUCCCCACCGUGGGGUCCCCGCGCCCCCCCAGCACCCACCCGCACUCCCGCCCACGCCCCGGGCCGCUCCGUCUCGUCUCCGUCUCGUGUCGCCAUCGCACGUCCAGCGUCGCCCCCCCAAGCCCCGGCUUCAUCCCGGGGGGAGCUUGGNNNNNNNNNNNNNNNNNNNNNN
rnacentral:lncRNA from 1 species